GGCGGGGGUGGGGCCUGUUGGGCAGGGGCGCCCUCUGUGCCCUGUGCUGACCUCAGCAUGUGCCCAGCUGGACACGGCCACCCAGGCCUGGGGGAACCCGGGGCCUAGAAACUCUCCUGGGGGGGCCUGGGUGAUGUAGGGUCCUCGGGUCCAAGGUUUAUUUUUAGGCCUCAUGAGGUGUCUCUGAGGAAAUAUUUGCUUCAGGGGUACUAGUCCUGCCCAGGGCGGUGGCUGGGGUGCUGAUGGGGGGCCCUAUCCCCACUGUCGCCCGUGGCCAGCCCUGGUGGGCAGGCAGGACCCAGGGAGGACCCCGCUCGCUGCCGGACCUCCAACCCCCACCCUGGGCUCCCGGUGGGCGUGGCCUCUGGAACAGGGGCGGGUCCAAGUGCUCCCUGGGGUGGAGCAGGGCCGGUUUGCCGCAGAAGUGAAGGAGGGACAGACCUGGUCUGCAGGCAGCCGCACCCCCGCCCCCCCCACCUGGUGGAGGCAGGGCCACCCCCGGGGGAAAGGCCCGUCCCCCUGGGCGUCUGGGGGCCUAGCAGGACUGCCGUGCAUGUGCAAGGCCUCCGGGCCACGGGCUCCGCACCGAGCCCUCGUGCUGUCUGGCUCCCUCGCAGGAAUCUCCUACCGCACCUGGGAUCUGCCAGUCCUGUCCAGAAGCUUCCGCCCACUCUGUGCACACCCUGAGCACGCUAGACCUGCAGUCACCCUCCCGCCAGGCUCCAGGAGGUGGCUGUGCCCGUCUCAGCCCGUCAACAUCGGCUUCCUGGGCUGUGGGUGCAGCCAGCACGCGUCCACGAGCCCAGCAGGCAGCGCGGUGAGUGCCAGAGACACAGGCCCUGCAGCCCCCUCCCCAGAUCGCCUCCAAGGACACAGGCAGCUUCGCCCAGACUUCUAAUCGCUCCGUGACGGGUUGGAAAUGUGAGAGUGAAAGUCCUCUGCCACAGAGAUCCCAGGGCGUCCUUGGCCGGGGCUCACGGCGGCCCCGGUGUCUCCGCAGCCGGCAGGACAACAGGCCCUUGGGCGCCUCAACCACACGGGCUCCCUCCACCCUUCGCCGGGCCCGGAUGCGAGUUGGUCACUCGGACUUUCUGAAGCAAGUAUCUACAUGGCAGUGCCCGGACGGCCACCCGAGUGUAGGUUUUCAUCUGGAACGCCUGCUUUGGCCACGAGGAAACGUCGGCUGAAGCCGGAUGAGAAUCCUUCCGCUUGCGGGA
rnacentral:lncRNA from 1 species